CUGGCUCAGGAUGAACGCUGGCGGCGUGCCUAACACAUGCAAGUCGAACGGAUUUUGCUCGCAGCAGAGACUUCGGUCGAAGCUUGAGUAAAGUUAGUGGCGGACGGGUGAGUAACGCGUGGGCAACCUGCCUCAUACUGGGGGAUAACAGUUGGAA
rnacentral:rRNA from 1 species